rnacentral:rRNA from 1 species
GUGGGGAAUAUUGCGCAAUGGGGGAAACCCUGACGCAGCGACGCCGUGUGAGGGAAGAAGGCUUUCGGGUCGUAAACCUCUGUCAGAAAGGAAGAACCUCCCAAGUCCGAAUAGGGCUUGGGACUGACGGUACUUUCAAAGGAAGCACCGGCUAACUCCGUGCCAGCAGCCGCGGUAAUACGGAGGGUGCAAGCGUUAAUCGGAAUCACUGGGCGUAAAGCGCGCGUAGGCCGCUUUGUAAGUCGGACGUGAAAGCCCUCGGCUCAACCGGGGAACUGCGUUCGAUAGUGCGAGGCUUGAGUCCUGGAGAGGGUGGCGGAAUUCCGGGUGUAGGAGUGAAAUCCGUAGAUAUCCGGAGGAACACCGGUGGCGAAGGCGGCCACCUGGACAGGUACUGACGCUGAGGCGCGAAAGCGUGGGGAGCAAACAGGAUUAGAAACCCCAGUAGUCC